GAACGCCGUAUGCGGUGAAAGCCGCUCGUAUGGUGUGGAGCGGGGGAAAAGUUGAAGAUAACUUCAAAAACUUACCUAUCGCUAU
rfam:Lentibacillus amyloliquefaciens strain LAM0015, complete genome.